rnacentral:rRNA from 1 species
CCUACGGGGGGCAGCAGUAGGGAAUCUUUCACAAUGGGCGCAAGCCUGACGGAGCAACGCCGCGUGCAGGAUGAAGGCCUUCGGGUUGUAAAAUGCUUUUUUCAGGGAGAAAUAUGAUGGUAACUUAUGAAUAAGGAUCGGCUCACUACGUGCAAGCAGCCGCGGUCAUACGUAGAAGCCGAGCAUUAUCUGGAGUGUUUGGGUGUGGAGAGUUGCGUAGGUGGGAUAAGGAGUAUCUAGGUGAAUCUGGUGGCUCAAACAUUCAGACUGUUAGCUAAACUGUUAAGCUAGAGUCCGUUAGAGGUAACCGGAAUUUCUGGUGUAGCGGUGAAAUGCGUAGAUAUUAGGAGGAACACCAAUAGCGAAGGCAGGUUACUGGGACGCUUCUGACGCUAAGGCACGAAAGCGUAGGGAGCAAACGGGAUUAGAUACCCGAGUAGUC